GUAGAUGAACCUGCCCACAAGAGGCAAGUAGUGUUUGUUUGAUGAUGCUUGAGACUACACAUUUCUCCUCCAUUAUAUGCUGCAUAACAGUGACACAAAUUUAUGAAAUGCAGCUUGACAAGGAAAUGCUAGCCUACUCUUAGAGAGGAGUGAAGGCCCACCAUCAUCACUGUUCCCUCAAAGCACUGGGUUUAAGCAGCGGAUAAAACCUUGCAACCAAGAGCAUUGUUUUUGGACUGAAAAUAGGAAGAGAUGCUACCUAAUGAGUUCCUUUUUGCUGUAAUCCAUCUUUCAGCAUUUGUCAAUAGUCACAUAUUCGUGGAACAGCAGCCAGCUACUGUACAUCUCACUGAGGGGGAAAAUGUUACUCUCUCAUGUCACAUCCGUGCAGAUGAUGGACUGAAAAUUUCCAAAUUCCGUGUAGAGUGGUACAGGGAGGAUGCUGACAGACAGCUACACGAGGUCAAAAACCUUUCUCAGCUCAGAGGACGGUUGAAAAAUAACAUUUUCAUUAAUCAGCAAAGUGCAAACCUUUCACUCUCCAUGCUCAAGCUAAAUGACACCGGCAAGUACUUCUGCAUUUUCUUCUCCUGGAUUAAUGAGAAAAUAUUGCAGAAUUAUGCAAAUGGCACAAACCUCAUUGUCCAAGAGGAGGUGACUACAGACAUCUCCAUCCUCAGUACCACAGUUAAUACUAGUAGUAAUACUAGUAAUAAUAUUGAUGCUGAUACUGAGAACAAUGUCCCAGAAAAUGUCCUUCACACAGUCCUUAUUUCUCUUCUGUUGUUAUUAAAAUUUGUGGCAACUGUGUUUAUAUGGUGUUAUACUUUUUUUUCCUAUACAUCCGUUGUUAUUUUUUGUCCUGUUUCACUUAGAAAUGUAACAUGACAUCUUUCUAAAAGUCUCAGUGUGUCUCCUGUUAUUCUCCUAACCUAAGUGAUUCUUAUGACUCAGAAACGCCCACGGAUGAUUAUCACAAAAGGUCGUUUUAUGCAUAAAUAUUACAAUUCUCUCACAUGUCCUCACUUGUAAAAGGGUGUCAACUGUGUGUCAGUGCAGGAAAGUGGCUAUAAACAGAGGCAUUAUUUCUUCUUGAAAAAAGAAUGCAUUAGUAAUAGUAACUUAUGGUAUAGACCUAGAACUGUUAUUUUAAUUCACAAGACAUCAUAGACAGCAUGAAGAUGCGUCAUGAUGAAGAUGUUUAAGCUAUUAUGAGGACAUGACAGAUGGAAGACCCUUUACUUCAUAAAUAUUUGAGUCUGUUUUACAUUUUUAAUUGCUGUGAUGUUUUUGACAGUGUCUUUGAGAAAUGCUGAUAUUGUACCUCUAUGUGAGAUUACUGACAUUGGCAGUAAACCUUAUUGAUUUUUAUAUUGUAUAAUGUAUCAAAUAUGUAUUAUAAUGUAAUCAAGAGAAGAGUUUUAAAUUAAAUAAAAUGAAUUUAGACUUAAUUUGAUUUAAAAUGAUUAUAUGAUCAGAUUUUAUGCUCACUUUUCUGUUUUUGGUAUUUUUAUUAAGGACUGCGAAUGUAAAAUCACCCAGUAAAAUACUGAAUGGUUGAAUAUAAGAAUCAAAUGUCAAAUCAAAAUAUACUAGAUACAUAUUCCAGAGGGAAUAGUGCUGUAAAAAGGUGGGACAUGAGGAUUAUUCCAUGGAUCCUGAGUAGACAGAAUAUUAUGAUGAAUAUUAUCCAUCAGAACCAAAGAUGUGCAAUCUAAGGA